UAUUUGAUAGUUUAACUAAAACGUAUAUUUUGUAAAUAUAAAUUACAUUUGUUCAAAUAA
rnacentral:tRNA from 1 species